rnacentral:lncRNA from 1 species
UUUAAGCCAUGCCCCCCCCCUCCAAACUUCGUUUGUUCUUUUAUGACUAAGGAUAUUUAUCUCCUGCCUGCUUUAGAAGUUUAUGGGCUGCUUUUCCUUUGAAUUCCAGGCCAAGGUCAGUAGCCUUUGGGUUGUGAUGUCACAGUGUGUUACCUUGGUUACCACUAUGACAUCAUUGGGCAAACCUGGGGGUUUGGUGGGGUAGUGGGGAGGUCUAUGAAACAAUCUCUUUCAUCUGCAGCCCAUGAGGAAACUGCCACUGCUUUUGGAAAAAAAGGUUUGGAGAAGUUGUACGAAGCUAAAGAGAAGAAUUAAUAAGAUUUACUGCCCACCCCCCCAAACGCCACAGACCCCUAAAAGUCAGGCCACAAUCAAAGGCUGCAGACUUCUGAAGGGAAGAAGCCAAAGGAACAAAUGCAUUCCGAGAAACCAGAACACCAUGUUUGCAAAAAGACCAUCAGGUCAGGGGAAGGGGAAAAAAAGAAUGUGUUUUUAUUGUGAACAUGUGUCAAGAGGACUCCGCCACAUAAACUCGGAGAUUAAAAGGGCCAUUUGUUUUCCUAAGUCUCAACCUGGCUUAUCGGUCCAUUUCGUGGGUCAGUUUGCAGUGUGUGCACUCUGAAGGACUGCCUGGAGAACACAAACACAAAGGCAGGAAACUCGAUUCAACGCAGGCCUGGUGACAUCUCUGGGUGUGUGUGUGUGUGUGUGUGUGUGUGUGCGCGCGCACGCACGCAUGUGUAUGUUUGUACAGAGGCUGACAACGUGUUCUCCUCAAUCAGAUCACUGCUCAGUAGACUUAUUGUUUCUGCAGCUUUAGAAACAGCUGGAGGGAUUGUAUAAGAAUCGCUUAAAUAAAGCUGCUCAUAAACCGUCCA